rnacentral:rRNA from 1 species
UUACCGAGUGAGGGCCUCCCGGCCCGACCUCCAACCCUUUGUGAACCCAUCUUGUUGCUUCGGGGGCGACCCUGCCGUUCGCGGCGGGGGCUCCCGGAGGUCAUCAAACCCUGCAUAAUUGCGUCGGAGGAAGAGUAAAUCAAACAAAACUUUCAACAACGGAUCUCUUGGUUCCAGCAUCGAUGAAGAACGCAGCGAAAUGCGAUAAGUAAUGUGAAUUGCAGAAUUCAGUGAAUCAUCGAAUCUUUGAACGCACAUUGCGCCCUCUGGUAUUCCGGGGGGCAUGCCUGUUCGAGCGCCAUUUCACCACUCACGCCUGGCGUGGUAUUGGGCGUCGCGGCUCCGCGCGCCUUAAAGUCUUCCGGCUGAGCUGUCCGUCUCCCAGCGUUGUGGCAACUAUUCGCUUCGGAGGCCGGGCGGCCGCGGCCGUUAAAUCUUUCACUACGAUGGCCUCGGAUCAGGUAGGGACACCCGCUGAACUUAAGCAUAUCAAUAAGCGGAGGAAAAGAAACCAACAGGGAUUGCCCUAGUAACGGCGAGUGAAGCGGCAACAGCUCAAAUUUGAAAUCUGGCGCAAGCCCGAGUUGUAAUUUGUAGAGGAUGCUUCGAGGCAGCGGCCGUUCU